rnacentral:rRNA from 1 species
GUCCACACUGUAAACGUUGAUUACUCGCUGUGUGCGAUAUACAGUACGCGGCCAAGCGAAAGCGAUAAGUAAUCCACCUGGGGAGUACGCCGGCAACGGUGAAACUCAAAGGAAUUGACGGGGUCCGCACAAGCGGUGGAGCAUGUGGUUUAAUUCGAUGAUACGCGAGGAACCUUACCUGGGCUAGAAUGCCCUUUACCGAUCCAGAGAUGGAUUUUUCUAGCAAUGACAAGGAGCAAGGUGCUGCAUGGCUGUCGU